AGUGAAGUCUGAGGACACCGGAAACGACCCCCCUGUUGAACCUGAAGAGGGAGUGUCCUACGCCACCGUCAGCUACAAGAGGAACAACCAGAGAAAUGAGGUCAGACCGAGUGAGGAGGCAAUGAUCUACAGCUCAGUGAGGAACACCACUGUGGAGGACCCUGCUCAGCUCUACGCCACCGUCAAGA